GCCGACCUCUCCUCCAAUCCUACCUCGCUCUCCAUCUCGCUACUAUCUAGAUCUACUCUAGUUUAGAGAUGAGAGGAGAGCUCUCAUCUCCAAACCCUAGCCUUUGCUCUGUCUAUGAAUAAUGAAUAAGGAUGAAGGGGUGCCUCCUCCAGGGGCCAGGGGGCCUGCUUAUAUAGUCCCCUCAAAUGAAUCUGGGCUGUCGGAUCAAACCGACAUUGAUUGAAUGGUUCUCCUUGAUCCUUUAGGUCGGUGGAUCAUAAUCCGCGAGACGGGACCUGAUUGGUCUCUGUAGCAGGGUGGGUGCCCUAGGGGGGAGGGCGGGCACCCUGUCCCCGAGCCCACUCGGCUUCCCGUUCAUUCUCGUGGCUUCUGGAGUCUUCUAGAUGAUAGAAAAUUAUGCGGCACAUUAAUAUCUCUAUGUAAACCCGACAUGUGGGCCUUUUCUCCAUAUUUCCUGAUAACCCCCUGCAGAAAUAGACAAACACCAAAACUCGUGGAAUUCUGUCAGAUAAAACCCUAAGUCUAGGUGUCGGUUGCAUUUGGAUCCUUUUCUUUAUUUAUUUGAUGGUUAAAUUUGAUACUUAAGGACUGUCAACAAACUCCCCCAAGCUUACCUCUUGCUUGUCCCUGAGCAAGGAUAGACUUAGUGAUGUAUCAGAAGUUGUUGCAAUGCCUUAGAAAGUUGACGGUACACAUGCUCUCAAACAAGGUCUUAUCUCUGAGUUAGGGUAAACUGUUAAGAUUAAAACUUACUCAUAUUACCUUCCACCAUGGGGCUUGCAACCGUCACUUGUGUCUUGAGCAGUUAAAAGAUAGAACGGUCAAGUCAAGCGCCAUGUCUCUUGUUCUUGAUCAACUAUAGCUCUGGAGUUUUUGUAGAUUUUCAAAUAAAACUUAGAGAUUCCUUGUAUGACUCUCUCAAUUCUCUCUUUUGUGGUAUUUCUGGAUCCUUACCAAGGCAGUGAUGGUAUAUGCCUUCUCUCAAAGCAUGUGGUAUUUGUGGUAUGAGGCAUAGUGACAUUGCCUUCUCUCUCACCCUACUCUAAUAAGGUUUUGAUAUCUGGAGCUCAUAGGUGGGAGACAGCUAAUACAUACUUACGAGACAUUUAUUGCAUAGUCAAACCAUGGAUCCAGAGAAACAAGUCAAUAAAUCAAAUCAAGAUGUGCAUGUGUGGCGAAUGAAUGGUGUAUGGUGAUGAUGGUGAUAAUGGUGAAAACAAUGGUGAAAGUCUAAUUCUACUUUUGCUCUUUUGAGGGGAUACAUACCUUUCUUGCACUUUGAAGCUUUUUGAGGGGAAUGAGAUGCUCUAUAUUUUCUUUUUCUUUUCUCUCAGGUGGGUAUCUUGUACCCCUAAUUCUACUAUCGGACACUUGUCCAUUUUUACCUCUCGUCUCACUUUUUCUUUUCUUCGAGGUUCCGGGCACUUACCCCUUUUUAUUUCCUCGUAUUUUUCUUUUUUUCUUUUCUUUUUUUAGAGCACUCACCCUCCUAAAAUAAUGUAGCAAGUGGUAGUAACUAAAAUAUCUCGAGCAUUUAUUUCACGGGGAAUAACAGGGAUAGGAUAAUGUUUUUGGCUAUUCUCUCCUGGAUAGGAGUAGAAUAAUUUUGGGUGAAUCUGGAGAUGGAAAGGAGUGGAUGUAUGUGGAUGCGUACUUCCAGAGUAGAAGUAGCAUGUAUGAGUGAACGUGCAAGUGAAUCUUGAUUUUGACCGCAUGACAAGCUCUUAAGGGUCUACACAGCUUGACCACACUCAAUGCUCAUAAGCAGUAAAAAGUAAAUGUAUGGUUCAUAGUCUAAUGAGCAUGUAUAUGUGGCUGUGGUAGGAUUUUAAACUCUCAUCAUACAGGAACUCAUCAUGCAACAUUUUAAAGAUUUUCAAAGAAAAUUCUCCAGAAUUCUAGCAUAUCUAGGAACAGAUAAACAACAGCUCAACCUUCCCAUAUCAUAUCCGUUAAUGACUUAGACUUUAGAUCAAGUACUCUUCCCACAAGUUCAGGUUUAGAACAAAUCUUAAUUCAUAACAGUCAUGCCUAAACUUGAGAGAGAAUUCAAUUUUGAGAACUAGUCAUGGCAGAGCAACUAUUCAUCAUUUCCAUGUGAGAGCUUAUCAUGAGGGUUCAUAGCAAACUUUAUUUAUUUAUUUAUUUAGUAAACUAAGCAAAGAUAUACAUAUAUAAGCAUAAAAUCUUUAUUUAGGUUUUUAUGAUUAUGCAUCUUUUUAUUAUUUGAGUAAAGUAUAAACAUGAGUAGAAACACUUAGCUGGAUAAAUGGGGGUGCUCUCCCCCAAGCUAGAUUUUGACGUAAUUUCUUCUGAUAUAGCUAGCAGGUGGUGGAGGUGUAUUUGAAUAUCGGCAGCACCCUGACAGUGAUUAGGAUGUCCUCCGUCUGCUAGUCUUCUUUGAUCCUUGAAUUCUGUGGAGCUCAAAUAGACAACAAAGCUUUGUGGAACUGGUUAAGUGUUAGCAUAAAAUCUCUUUGUCGUUAUCAUAUUGAGCUUUCUCUAAUAAAUAAUACUCUCUUUGGUAGGAUCAUAAAUUUAUUUUUAUAUUUUCAUUUCUAUAGGACAGGAAUAUAUUUAUUUUAUUUUUACGCCACCACAGUGAAUGUACUUAUGGGUUUUAUGCCACGAGCAUACUCACAUGGGGCUUACAAUUUUUAACAUAUUUAUUUUCUUUUCAAGAUAGUAUGAUUAACUAACAAGCCAUUUAAGGAAAGUAAAUAAUUUAGGCAGAAAAGGGAAUGCAGGAAGGAUAAAUAUGGAUAACUACCGAUUUUACCUUUCGGCGAGGGUUCAAUGUUUUAAGUCUUCUGAACAAGACUUCUCACCGUGUUCAUUCUUUAGGUGCGUCAUUUGAUUCAGGUGUGGACCUUGACGUCUGAUCCUCUUGAUAUGGUGUCACCCAUGUUCUUCAUUUGCCCAGCAGUUCGAAGUGCGGCGUUGGCAGUAUCUUGCUCAGUGUGUUUGUGCUCGUAGAUCCACGUCCUUCACUUGGUAGAGUCUGGGAGUUGAAAAAUCCUCCAUGUUUCUCAAAAUGUGUCCUGCUCAUAGAGACAAGGCAGAGAUCAAGUGCAUGGGCCCUGUUGGUGGAAAACACCAACAGAACCAAAAGUAUAUUUAUUCUUCUUUAUCCUCAAGCAUAGGGAGCAAGACAAAGUUGAUGGGUGAUAAGUUCAUGAGUGUAGCAUUUAAAACAAUUGUCAGAUCAGAUCGCUCAACCUUAUGGAAAGAUAAUCUAUCUAUGUUUAUGUCUUUUUCUUUAUCUUCCCAAAGAUUGAAUGUGCAACAUUUGAGCUCAUAUGAUUAGGAGUGUGGGAUCAUGGAGGUAGUACUAGGAACAAAGAUUAAAGGACUAAACAUGUUGAAUCGGUUAGGUUGGUUAAUUUAGAGUUAUAAAUUAUACAUAUUUGUCUCUUUAUGUGAACGCCAGAACCAAGGAGAAGCUUAUAAAAGUGAUAGUCAUGUACCUUAAGAUGUUACCUUACUUGAAGAGUGAUGGUACAGUAUCACUUGUGGAAGCUUUCCUUUCUUAGCGGUUGUGCAUCGUGUUUGUGGCACCCUCCAUGGGUCAUCUCUUAUGAGCUAUAUCUUCCUUGUGUAAAUUGUUAAACUUCAUGUGUCUCUCUCUUUGUCUCCAAUGUGAGUUUAUCUCAGGACUUCCCAGGUCGAUAUUGAAAGUUUUCCUGCAGGGGUUAGUCCAACAAAAUAUACCAAUGUCU
rnacentral:lncRNA from 1 species